CAGUGAACGGACGCAUUUCGUUACUAGGAUGGUAACGACAAAGGAAUGAACAAGGAUCACCUCUCGGAUGAGGCAGGGAAUAAAACAUCAGGAUGAUGUUAAGGACACCGCUCAGGGAACAAGUGAUGAGAGCUAACUAGGAUAGUUAGUGGACCAGGAUGGGUCAAGGACACCGCUAGGAUGGCGAUGAAAGGAUUAAGCUGAAGGAUUGCAGCGCACUUAUCAAGGAAUAGAUGCAGGGAGCACUCUUAGUAGCUGGAUUGCUGCGAGUAAGACUAUAACCCCGAUGGGCUUUUGCCCUCGGGGUUUUUCUU
rnacentral:other from 1 species